GCAUCUGUUUUUUAACAGAGCUGAAAGCUUAUCCAGGCUAUCUUAGUUCAAACUGCUAUCUUCUGUUGAGGCCUUGUGACAGGAAGCAGCCAUCCCCCAUCACUGUAUAAAAAGGAGAGUUAUUGUUUAGAAAGUUCAAGUUUGUUUUACUAAAAUGUGGGUUUAAACUGCUGUUCGCCUUUGACCUUUAAAGAAAACACAUAGACACAAUUAUAGUUUACUAAGCUGCCUUGGAAAGAAGCAUCAUGAUUGCAUGCUAUGUGAAAGUUAUAGUGCUCACGUCUUAGCACUCUGUAGUAAUCAGUGCAAAUGGCUAAAAACUAACAUAAAACUGGUAUUGGUGAUAUUAAAUGUAAGUUUGUAAUAAUGCAAAUAUGUACACACUACUACUACUACUACUACUACCACCACCAAAGAGUAAAAGGUUUGCUACUGGGACUAUGCAACUACUGUAUAACCAGAUAUGAAAGUGGGUUGAUGUACAAUGGUUGGGAAGAACAACCAGUCCACACACAAUAGCCAAUAUGUGAUAUUUCACUUUCCACACACUUUCUGCUGGAAGCCAGAAGCCUGUGAAGAUAAUAAAUCAUCUGGAAGACCAAUUUCAUGCAUUCAGUCAAGUAAUAACCAGAUCUAUGAUGCAUCAAGUGAAUAACUCAACCUAAAUAAAAGUGUUUCAGUAAUAAAGAGGGGUGGAACAUUUUAUACUAAAUUAGAAUUUUCAGUGUUUGCUUCAUGAUGCAGUUAGAUUUUGAGGGGUAUUUUAAAAAUUGAAGUAAUGGAAACAUUCUGAUGAACACGACUGUUUUGGCACUCUUCCCAUAUUUAACAGCAUGUAAUGUUUAUGUCAUAAUGUUUAUUUGGCAAAGAUAUCUGCAGCACAACAUGCCUUUUGAUAGUUGUGGCAAGUACCAUAAAAUAUAUGUUGGAAUGAUCUUAGAAUACAAUCUGAAUGUUUUGAAACUCUUGCCUUUAAUCUCCACAUCUUUUCUUUUGUAUUUUUAUACCCCUGUCUGCUUAUUUAUCUUUAAACUUAAAGGUGUGGUUUGACAUACAUCAAUCUUCCUUCAUUUUUGUGGUCCAGCACAUUUUCUAAUAAUAUGGUUACUGUGUAGAUGGAGGGUUGCCAGAAACUACAGUACAACCAAUAGAAGAGUACAGAGAAAGGAGAAUUUUUGUUAGUAGUAAGUACUUGGUGCAAUACAGGUUUGUGUUUGCACCUUGUCAACAAGAUAUUUGUCACUCAAAGACACUACAUUAUGCCAUAUGUUCAGUGUUUUAUGCAAUAUGCUCAGCACAGUAGCAUUACAGAUGAAGUAGCAUUGGGAGAAGAGCAAUAACUCAGUGAUAAAGCACAUGCUUUGCACCCAAAAGAUUCCAGUUCCAGUCCAUGGCAUCUACCGGCAGGGGUGGGAAAGACUGGAUCCAGAUCGCAUCCACCUGAGAAUUUGCAAAGAACUCAAAUGUGAAAUCCCUAAUCUUCUAACAAAAAUGUAUAACUUGUUCUUCAGAUAGCCUCCAUACCUGAGGAUGGGAAAAUAGCCAAUUUAGCACAAUUUUUAAAAACAAUUGUGGUUGAGCCUAGAAAUUACUGAGCCAGCAUGACUUCUGCACAGGCAAGCCCUGUCUCACAAACCUAUCAUUUAUCAUUUAUUUAUUAAAUUUGUAUAUCACCCUUUAUUCGAAGAGCACAGGGUGGGUCACGACAUACAAAAUGAGAACACAGAAUACAUAACCAAAAACCAAUGAGUCCACUUUCACAAACACAAUAAAAAGGCCAUAGGUUGUUUAAUCAGCAGCCAAAGGCCUGGUUGUAAAGAAAUGUUUUCACCAAACUGUAUGUAACAAAGGCACCAGGCGAGCCUCACUGGGGAGAGCAUUCCACCAUAGACACCAGACUAUGCGGCGCCCUGGGUUCCCACAAAUUAUAAAGGAAGGGGUGCCCCCCCAAGAUUCCACUUGGUGGCAUGCACACGCCACGGGACAUGUGUGUGUCACAUUGGCAUCAUGCACGAGUUACAUCAGCAUGCUGCAGGUGUACUGACAUCACACACACAUGCUUGCACACCUCAGGCACCCGCUGUCGCGGGGACAAGGUGACAUGCCUGCAUUCCACAAAUGGGGAGUCACUUUAGAAAAGGCCCGCUCUCAUGUUGUCACCCAUCAGACCUCUCGUGGAAGGGAGUACACAAAGAAGGGCCUCAGAUUAUGAUUUCAGGGUCUGGUCAGUUCAUAUGGGGAGAGGCAGUCCUUGAGGUACCCCCAAGAUAUGGUGAUAUCGGUUUCAUAAUUUUUGACCUGGCAAUGUAUCAUGAACAUGAUUGUGUGCUAUGCAAAAAUCAUGAUUCAGGGAAAACCAUGAAGCCAGCCAAUGCCUCUACAUAGCUCCAUCCUUAUUUCAGACAUUGUAAUAUAUUGGUAUAUCGCGAUGUUUAGCUGGUGAUAUAUCACGAUACAGUAUUCAAAAUCAGAUAUCACCCAGCCCUAACCUUGGUUUGUAGUAGAUAGCUCAAACUUUCGUCUGGUGGUCCACAAGCUCCCUUCAGGCAGUCUGUGGAAAGGGAGCAGAGCAGUCAAGAACUUGAUUUAUUUUUUUCUAAUAAUGAUAUUUCAACACAAGGGAUGGAUCUAAGACACUGCCUUAGGAUUUUCUUAAUUUGAAAAGGCACCAAAGAAAGACGUUUAUGCAUUUAUGUGUUUAAAACCCCAGCAAUUUUUGAGUGGUCAGUCCAAAAAAAGUUUUUAAAAAUCCAAGUAUAUAAAAUAAUCCAGAAAAAGGAGUUAGAGGGUUUCUUGUGUUGCUGUGUUGCUCCAGAACAGUGGAUGAGUUAGCACACUUUUAAAAAACUAGUGCAGAAAUUUUGGUUAUAAUAAACAUAUAUUUCUAGGGCCUCUUCAUAUUUUGUUGCUUGACUAAAUUACUUAGGUAUUCGUUCAUAUUUCUUAAUAUUAAAUUCCCAUUGUUUACCAUUUGUAGGCUUAUUUUUAUAUUAAAUUCCAAUGGUUGUCUUCUAAUCAAAAGGCUUGUGCAGACUGUAGCUCCAUCUUCCUUUGUUUUAACAGUUGUGGGUUUUGUGGCACCUACUAAAAUAUCCUCAAACAAUUCCUAGUGUGUGUUAACAAUAACUCUAUUGAAGUUUCGUUCCCAGCCAUUGCUUUUAAGCAAAGGAAAACCUCUUUUAAAGCCUGAGUAUACAGAUUAUUGGCUCUUGACAAAAAGGAAAUGAAGCAAGAUCAGGAUUUAUGUUGUGUUAGGAAAUAACCAUUUAGAUGCAGGCUCCAUAUUUUAUUAUGGAUUAUUGUGCUUAAAAUUCGUGUACUGUUUUCGAGAAUUCUAGGCUAGUUUUGCUACUGGCUUUAGUUUCUACAAACAGCUUUUACGCUGAAGUCACCCAUAUUUAAGCUUUCACUUGCACAGAUGUUUAACAUGCUGUGGAGGGAACCUAGCAGCAGUAGACAACCAUCAGGAGGGAGAAGCAUUGGAUGUCAUGCACUUGACCUGAUUCCUUGACCAAAGGGGCACAGGGUCAGCUAUUGGGAACAAUCCCAGAGAAACAUUAAAAAAAAAACCACACACACAAAAACACGAAACAAAAGGAUGUAGGACAUGAGUAAGUGAAACACUAAGAAGCAAAAAUAAAGUAUAAGUUGUUAGACCAGUAAGAAAGGGGGGGGAGCAAUAAAUAAAUUAUGCAACAUUUAUAUGUAAGAACUUGGUGAUCUGUUACUUUCUAGUGAAUGUGUUCUGUAUAAAAAAUAAAUGGUGGCUAUAAAUGAUGGUCUGCAUGUAGCAAAUACUUGAAUAUAUAAUCAAAAUCUAUUUGCUUAGUAUCUUUUUUGAGAUACAUUUAUUAUAUUUCUCAGCAUCUUUUUUUUUUUUAAUUAUCAGUGGUUGUCUUUACAAAGCACCCUAGGUAAAGGUACCCCUGACCGUUAGGGUCCAGUCGCAAACGACUCUGGGGUUGCACGCUCAUCUUGCUCUAUAGGCCGAGGGAGUCAGUGUUUGUCCACAGACAGGUUCUUGGUCAUGUGGCCAGCAUGACUAAGCCGCUUCUGGUGCAACAGAACACUGAAACCAGAGCAACGCACGGAAACGCUGUUUACCUUCCCGCCGGAGCAGUACCUAUUUAUCUACUUGCACUGACAUGCUUUCAAACUGCUAGGUGGGCAGGAGCUGGGAUCAAACAACAGGAGUUUACUCUGUCGUGGAGAUUCGAAGCGCUGAUCUUCUGAUCAGCAAGCCCUAGGCUCUGUGGUUGAGACCACAGUGCCAACCGCAUCCCUACAAAAGUACCCUAUAUAAUUUGGAUGUGGGGUUUUUGGUUUGGUAGUAUAGCCUACUGUAUUUGCACAUCUGGUGAAUGGAGUGGCUGUGAUUGUGCCGUAGAAAAUUCCCUUGCUCAAAGGUCACAUUGGCAACAAAUUUACUAGGAUGUUGUAUGCUAAUCAAUAUUCAAUAUUUUAUCCCUUCUCCUUAGCCCAGAAUUUGGUUAUGAUAAUACUCUCCUACCUGGCAUGGUCAUUGCAAAUGUUGCUGCUGCAAUGCAUGUGAAUCUCUUUAAACACUUGAAGUGAGUUGUAAAUAGGCUAUAUAAAUUCUAAGUGUUUUUAUUUGAUGGCCAUUGAACCAUUUUGUGUUUCAACAAUUGUGGUAAAUAUCAGUAUAAAUUAUAAAAGGAAAAGGCUCAUUUGCAAUACUGUUAUGAAUCUUAAGCUGUUGGGGAGAUUUGGCCUGAUUUUUCCUUUCCAGAUUGUUGUUGAUGUCACAAGCUAAAUUAGAAACCUUUGAUGAGAAAGAAGGAGAGGAGGAAUAUAUAUAAUCUAUUUGAUGAGAAAGAGGGAGGGGAAGAAUAUAUAUAAACUAAGAGCCUUUGAAAAAUUCAUAAAGUGGGAUAU